rnacentral:rRNA from 1 species
GAUGAACGCUGGCGGCGUGCCUAAUACAUGCAAGUCGAGCGAACAGAUGAGGAGCUUGCUCCUCUGACGUUAGCGGCGGACGGGUGAGUAACACGUGGAUAACCUACCUAUAAGACUGGUAUAACUACGGGAAACCGGAUCUAAUACCGUAUAAUAUAUUUAACCGCAUGGUUCAAUAGUGAAAGACGGUUUUGCUGUCUCUUAUAGAUGGCUCGGGGCCGCAUUAGCUAGUUGGUAAGGUAAAGGCUUACCAAGGCAACGAUGCGUAGACGACCGGAGAGAGUGGUAGCCGACACUGGAACUGGACCGCGCUCCAGAGGACUACGGGACGCCGCAGUAGGCAAUGGUCCGCAGUGGGCGAGAGUCUUGCGGAGCAAGGCCGAGUGAGUGAUGGAGGUCUUGGGAGCGUAAAGCUGGGUUAUUAGUGGUAAACAAAUGUGUAAAGGAAUAAACACGUCGUGACGGUACCUACACAAAAAGCCCCGGCUAACUACGUG